UGAGGCAGGACUGUUACAUAUUCAGAGGC
rnacentral:piRNA from 1 species